rnacentral:rRNA from 1 species
CGACGUAAAGAACUUGCCUCACAGCUAGGGACAACAUUUGGAAGCGAAUGCUAAUACCUAAUAUUAUGAUAAUAGAGCAUCCUAUAAUUAUGAAAGCUAUAAGCGCUGUGAGAGAGCUUUGCGUCCCAUUAGCUAGUUGGAGAGGUAACGGCUCACCAAGGCGGUGAUGGGUAGCCGGCCUGAGAGGGUGAUCGGCCACAAGGGGACUGAGACACGGCCCUU